rnacentral:tRNA from 1 species
CGGGGUAUAGUAUAUCGGCAGUACGCGUGCAUGGGGUGCACGUAGGAGCGGUUCGAUUCCGCUUACCCCGA